rnacentral:rRNA from 1 species
UACAGAGGGUGCGAGCGUUAAUCGGAAUUACUGGGCGUAAAGCGCACGUAGGUGGCGACGUAAGUCGGGUGUGAAAGCCCCCGGGCUCAACCUGGGAACCGCGCUUGAGACUGGCACGCUCGAGUUCGGGAGAGGAUGGUGGAAUUCCCAGUGUAGAGGUGAAAUUCGUAGAUAUUGGGAAGAACACCGAUGGCGAAGGCAGCCAUCUGGACCGACACUGACGCUGAGGCGCGAAAGCGUGGGGAGCAAACGGG